rnacentral:lncRNA from 1 species
AAGGCCUGUUUGAACCUUCAACGUGCGUGGGUCAAAUGAUUGUUUAGGAAGUCUGUAUGAUGACGAAAAAACUGCAGGUGACUAGAAGCUGCCGAUGAGCUGCCAGUCCGGAUGGCAGCUAUCAACACUGCAAGGGCCUGAAGGCGCAUCAGCCCUCCCCCCGUUCCUCUACUGGCAUUGGAGACAGGAUGCUUUGUAAAAGUGGGAGCUCAUGAAGGUGGCACUGUGCACAGAGGGACAGAGUGGCUGACAGUGAGCUGCCCAAGACAACCUGCUGGCUCUCGUGACCAUCUCCGAAAGCCUCUGGAUGGGCUAAUUGACAGGUGUGCCUGGACAUUUAUAAACG